CAUCAACUCAUUAAUACUCACCAUGAAGAUCUUACUCUCCGUAUUCCUGCUUAUAAUCAGCCUCAUCGGUUUUCAGUGUCAGAGUCUUGAGUCUAUUCCUGCUGGUUCAGCAGUGAAAAAACCUGGAGAAACUCUGAGUCUUUCCUGUAAAGGGUCUGGGUUUAAUUUUGGUAGCUAUGGCAUGCACUGGAUCAGACAAGAAGCUGGAAAAGCACUGGAAUGGAUUGGGGUUAUCUGGAAUGAUGCUAGUAAAACUGUAUAUGCCAAACACAUUGAGGGACAUUUGGAAAUCACCAGAGACAACUCCAAGAACAUGUUGUAUAUGAAGCUGACUGGUUUGAGUGCACAGGACUCUGCUGUGUAUUACUGUGCAAGAAACCACAGUGCCCGCAGGGUCGCAAUGUCCCGGAGUGAUACUCCAGCAGACCAGGCCCUAGAGGCCGCCACACUCCGGUGGAGCGAGCCCUGA